rnacentral:rRNA from 1 species
AGAGUUUGAUUCUGGCUCAGAGUUAACGCUGGCAUCGUGCAUAACACAUGCAAGUCGAACGGGACUUACUUGUAGCAAUACAGAGUAAAGUUUAGUGGCAGACGGGUGAGUAAUGUAUAAGAAACCUACCUCUGAGUGGGGGAAUAACAGUCCGAAAGGAUUGCUAAUACCCCAUAACAUAAUGAAAAGGCAUCUUUCUAUUAUCAAAGAUUUAUCGCUUGGAGAUGGUCUUAUAUUCUAUCAGCUAGUUGGCAGUGUAACGGACUACCAAGGCUACGACGGAUAGCCGGCCUGAAAGGGCGACCGGCCACAAGGGCACUGAGACACGGGCCCUACUCCUACGGGAGGCAGCAGUGGGGAAUUUUGGACAAUGGGCGCAAAGCCUGAUCCAGCAACGAUGCGUGGAGGAUGAAGGUUCUCGGAUUGUAAACUCCUUUUGUAAGGGAAGAAAAAAUGACGGUACCUUACGAAUAAGCCACGGCUAACUACGUGCCAGCCGCCGC